GUGCAAAUUUGUUGUUACUUAAAAUCUGACCUAUCUAGAUCGAUAGAUAAGCCACUCUGCUCAUUAGCAUUAUAGAAUCUUGACUCAGUGCUAGAGGGGAUCUUCAAUCACAAAAAAUGAUUAGAGGUUUGUUAGAUGUGUCUGACGAGGAUCCUUCGAUGCUUAUGUUAAGUAGAGCUUUAAGAAGAAAUAGGAGAUCUGAAAGAG
rnacentral:lncRNA from 1 species